UACGUAGGGUGCAAGCGUUAUCCGGAAUUAUUGGGCGUAAAGAGCUCGUAGGCGGUUUGUCGCGUCUGCUGUGAAAACCCGAGGCUCAACCUCGGGCCUGCAGUGGGUACGGGCAGACUAGAGUGCGGUAGGGGAGAUUGGAAUUCCUGGUGUAGCGGUGGAAUGCGCAGGAUAUCAGGAGGAACACCGAUGGCGAAGGCAGAUCUCUGGGCCGUAACUGACGCUGAGGAGCGAAAGCGUGGGGAGCGAACAGG
rnacentral:rRNA from 1 species